GCUGUAUUUUUUGUUGACCGCUAACAAUCAAGAUCUUUGAGAUUUGUAUUCGUUAAGUCAUAUUUUUGGACACGUUAUCCUAAGUUGAUCAUUUUUCCUUAAUACCGUAAUUAAAAGGCAUUUACUUUCGAGCUUAGUGGAUUCUUUUUUUUUCUGUGAAGAGCGGCCGACAAGGAACGGCCCAACUUCAGCCUCUCAGCGGCUUGUUUGUCUCCUAAAGUCGCUGCAAUAUUGUCAACAAAAAACGGCAUUAGGAAUCAGCAACAAGCAAAGGAUAGAUUACAAGAGGCUCAAAGUAAACAGGCUUUCAACACAUCAUGCGGAGGUAUAAUAAGACUCUUGGAGCAGCAGACUGCGAACAUUAUUGGAAACCAGUUCCUGUCAGUCUCAGGAGUUGAUGGAUGUAACAAAAGGAGGCAGGGUGGUGGAAGACCAGAGACGCAGGCCUCAGGUGUGAACAGAUCACUGGGUCUUUCACUCCACGUCCCUGUACUGCUAGAUAAGGUGUAUAGAGCACUAAAGCAUCUCAUAAACAUAAACCACAAGGAGAAACAAGUUACAGAAAACAUGCAGAAGGU